GGGGAGAUACUCAAGUGGCUAACGAGGACAGACUGUAAAUCUGUUGACUUAUGUCUUCAUAGGUUCGAAUCCUAUUCUCCCCACCA
rnacentral:tRNA from 1 species